AUCUUCAAGAACAUGAUUACUUAAAUGUAUGGAAAGGCAUGGACGAUAUUAAGAAGUUAAAUUUAGCUAGAUCGAUCGGCGUAUCUAAUUUUAACAGUUCUGAAAUAAACAGAAUUUUGGUUCAUUCCAAAAUAGUACCAACUUUCAAUGAAAUAGAGGUAAAUCCUAAUUACGUAGAUUUAGAUCUCGUAGCUUAUUUUCAAAGCUUGAAUAUAACCGUAAUGUCUUACGCACCAUUUGGCUUCUUGGUUCCACGACCAUAUUUAAAUUAUACAACGAGUAUAACUUUCGAAAAUCCAGUAUUUAAGAGAAUGGCACAAAUGUAUGGAAAAACUACAAGUCAAAUUAUUCUGCGAUACUUGAUUGACCGUGAAACAAUACCAUUCCCAAGAUCAACAAACGCGGAACGAAUUAAGGUAAAUAUUGACAUAUUAGAUUUCAAUCUCACUGAAAAUGAAAUUUACGAGAUCAAUGAAUUCAAUGAAGAUGCUAAAGUUUACGACUUUAGCGACGAAUCAUUUCUCCCUGCAUUUGUCGAUUAUUAUGGUUUGUAACAAUAAAAUGGAAAACUAUUUUUAAUUUAUUUUGCUAGGAUUUUUA